rnacentral:rRNA from 1 species
UGAGGAAUAUUGGUCAAUGGGCGCGAGCCUGAACCAGCCAUCCCGCGUGGAGGAAUAAGGCGUUAUGCGUUGUAAACUCCUUUUAUAUAGGGAUAAACCUACUCUCGUGAGAGUAGCUGAAGGUACUAUAUGAAUAAGCACCGGCUAACUCCGUGCCAGCAGCCGCGGUAAUACGGAGGGUGCAAGCGUUAUCCGGAUUUAUUGGGUUUAAAGGGUCCGUAGGCGGGUUAGUAAGUCGGGGGUUAAAAC